AGUGAACGCUGGCGGUAGGCCUAACACAUGCAAGUCGAACGGCAGCACAGUAAGAGCUUGCUCUUACGGGUGGCGAGUGGCGGACGGGUGAGGAAUACAUCGGAAUCUACUUUUUCGUGGGGGAUAACGUAGGGAAACUUACGCUAAUACCGCAUACGACCUACGGGUGAAAGCAGGGGAUCUUCGGACCUUGCGCGAUUGAAUGAGCCGAUGUCGGAUUAGCUAGUUGGCGGGGUAAAGGCCCACCAAGGCGACGAUCCGUAGCUGGUCUGAGAGGAUGAUCAGCCACACUGGAACUGAGACACGGUCCAGACUCCGACGGGAGGAAGCAGUGGGGAAUAUUGAACAAUGGGCGAAAGCCUGAUCGAGCAAUGCCGCGGGGGUGAAGAAGGCCUUCGGUUUGGAAACCUCUUUUGUUGGGAAAGAAAAGAGGGGGUAGAAACCCCGUUUAUUUGGACGGUACCAAAAAAGAAAGCCCCGGCUAACUACGUG
rnacentral:rRNA from 1 species